AACGAACGCUGGCGGCAUGCCUAACACAUGCAAGUCGAACGAUACCUUCGGUUCUAGUGGCGCACGGGUGCGUAACGCGUGGGAACCUGCCCUUAGGUUCGGAAUAACUCCCCGAAAGGGGUGCUAAUACCGGAUAAUGUCUUCUGACCAAAGAUUUAUCGCCUUUGGAUGGGCCCGCGUUGGAUUAGAUAGUUGGUAGGGUAAAAGCCUACCAAGGCGACGAUCCAUAGCUGGUCGGAGAGGAUGAUCAGCCACACUGGGACUGAGACACGGCCCUGACUCCUACGGGAGGCAGCGGGGGGGAAUAUUGGAGAAUGGGCGAGAGACUGAUCCAGCCAUGCCGCGUGAGUGAUGCAGGCGUUAGGGUUGUAAAGCUGUUUUACCCGGGAUGAUAAUGACAGUACCGGGAGAAUAAGCGCCGGCUAACUACGUG
rnacentral:rRNA from 1 species